CUCCGCUCCUCGCGUCGCGGCCCCGCCCCCGCGGCCGCUGCGCGCCGGACGGGGCCCAAGCGGGGGUCGGAGCCUCAAGGCUGCGGCGGCGACGAGCUCCGAGCGGGACACUGAACGGCCCGUAUGCGCAAGAUAAGCACGGACUGAAUCAGGUACACGCACCUGCCGGGGACGCACUGACCGAGGUGCGGACGGCGGUACCAGGACAGGUAAAGCCGCGAACACUCGGACCUAAGAACUUGACAGGUACACCCUGCCUGAUGAAGCUACGUACGGCCAGGUGCGCAUCGAGUGAAUCAGAGACGAAGUUUCGCCAUGUUGCCCAGGCUGAUCUCAAGCUCUUGGGCUCAAGCAAUCCACCUGCCUUGGCCUCCCGAAGUGCUGGGAUUACAGGGUGAGAACCUACUUCUUCAUAAAGAGAAUUUGGAGGGAGCUUUUUGUUCUGCGGGGACAACAUCUGGAUUUGAAUACAUCCAUGCUCAAAAGGAGAUUUCUCAUAAUGGACCCAACUGAAAGCACUCAGAGUACAAGGACCGGUGAGCUUUCAAAAGGAGACACUUCGGGAGACUCGCCAGGGGCCCUCGUAUCCCCGGCAGCGCGAGUUUUGGAGGUCAGUGGAGGGCUCUCGCAUCAUGCAUGUAACUUUCAUACUCAAAAACUUACCUUCAUCCUGCAUCCCUCACCCCCCUGCAGAAACUUGGGGCUUGAAUUCAUUUAAAAACAUUUGCGGUUUCAGAAGCCUUCUUUUUAUUAUGAAGCUGCCAAGGAGAUCUUAGAAUGAAAGGCAUUUUUAGAGAUGAGAAAGAAGGAAGCCAGGCCAAGGCUGGGCCGGCUCUCAGCCGUGGGUCUGUAAAGGUGACACGUGGGACAUGGCCACCUGCAGACCCUGCAGGCGGCUGGGCAGAGGCACCCACAGGGACCUGGGUUUGAAUCCCUGCUCUGCCAGUCAUUUCCACAGCGAUCUUGGGGGAAGUUGUGUAACCUCUGGGCCCUGCGACGCCCUUUCCUGGAGCCUGGAGCUGGAACGAAGCCCCUUGGAGCCCUGACAUCAGAGGUGACGUUAGUCUUCGCAGGCAAUGACUCGGCGGAAUGUGAUGCCACUCCCUAACCCGUGUCCGGACUGGCAGAGUGUGUGCCGCCUCCCACCAGGUGGUCUGGCUGCUUUGAUGGAUCUCCUAACUUCUCUGCACCCCAGAGCCCUCAGUGCUGGCCAGACCUUCACUCACUCCUGGGUGACAACCCCGUUCUCAGAUAGUGGGUCCCACAGGCUGGCCUGUGGCGCCCCCUGCUGGUGACUGCAGGGAGAAGGAUGCCCUAAGCCAAAGGAAGUCCUUCCUGGGGUCUAAUCUCUACCUUUUGCAUGAUGAGGCAGCUGAGGUGGCUCGCUUUCUCCUCCACCCCAGAAAAUAAAGUCAUAUGGAGUCCAAAAAAAAAAAAAAAAAA
rnacentral:lncRNA from 1 species